CAACCACACUUAAAUGAGUUUCACUUUCAUUGAGGUUAUACUGAUGCUGACUUGUUAUACUGAGAAAGAUACUUUGUUCCACCUCAUAGUUAACACCUUUUAGUGUAAUGCACUAGUUUCAACAGUAACCUUAAUGAAGAUAGGGCUGCUGAAUAGUUUUGGGUAAAUGUCAUUAACAAACUGGCAACUGAAUGCAGUCUGUAUGUACUCACUUAAUCAUCUUGUGGGUGUCUGGGUCUGUGAUUUUGACAGUGCGGGCCACGUUCCAGGACACAUGAAUCAUGGGGACGAUGGAUUUGACCUUCUUUACUUCAUUCCACUCAAACCUCUCCAGGGCCAGCUGGUACUGGUAACCUGCACACACACAUGAAACAAUGUUGAAGAAUGAAAUAUUUGAGAGUAUAGAGUAUUCACCCUGGACUGGUCGCCAGUCAAUAGCAGGGCUGACUCACAAAGACGGACAAUCACACACUCACACCUACGGGCAGUGUAGAUCAGCCAAUUAACCUAAUGUGCAUGUUUUUUGGGACUGUGGGAGGAAACCGGAGUACCCGGAGAAAACCCACGCAGGCACAGGGAGAACAUGCAAACUCCACACAGAAGGGCCCAGACCUGGAACCCUGACAGUGUUAACCGCUGCACCACAAGUUAAUUUCAGAGGGAUCUCGAGUCACCCGCUAUGGAAGACCAACGUAAAAUCCAUUGGUCUCCCACCAACAGCAGGUGUCAGUAGGUGGCGCACUCCUUACCAUUGAGAGGUCCAACGUUCCAGGCAAUGUUGUUGCACCAGCCAACAGCUUGAACCCAGUGAACAGUCCCAGCAUUGAUCCACACCAAGUCUCCAGGCCGUUGGAUGAAGCGGUACACAGGGAUGUUGGCGUUGUAGAGGUCCUCCAAGACUGGCCACCACGAGCCUGUCAGAAAUCACUGAUGGCUUGCCAGUAGUUCUCAUGGACGGAGAACCACUCGCAGUCUCCUGGGCCGAUGUUGAUGUUGACUGAGCAGAAGUUGUUGUUCUCUUGGUGACCUGUUCAAGGACAGAAUUUUAAAAAUGGUAACACAUUUUCUGGGAAUUAAACAGAUCCUAAUCCA